AUCAUUACCGAGUUUACAACUCCCAAACCCAAUGUGAACGUUACCAAACUGUUGCCUCGGCGGGAUCUCUGCCCCGGGUGCGUCGCAGCCCCGGACCAAGGCGCCCGCCGGAGGACCAACCAAAACUCUUUUGUAUACCCCCUCGCGGGUUUUUUAUAUCUGAGCCAUCUCGGCGCCUCUCGUAGGCGUUUCGAAAAUGAAUCAAAACUUUCAACAACGGAUCUCUUGGUUCUGGCAUCGAUGAAGAACGCAGCGAAAUGCGAUAAGUAAUGUGAAUUGCAGAAUUCAGUGAAUCAUCGAAUCUUUGAACGCACAUUGCGCCCGCCAGUAUUCUGGCGGGCAUGCCUGUCCGAGCGUCAUUUCAACCCUCGAACCCCUCCGGGGGGUCGGCGUUGGGGAUCGGCCCUUUACGGGGCCGGCCCCGAAAUACAGUGGCGGUCUCGCCGCAGCCUCUCCUGCGCAGUAGUUUGCACACUCGCAUCGGGAGCGCGGCGCGUCCAUUGCCGUAAAACACCCAACUUUCUGAAAUGUUGACCUC
rnacentral:rRNA from 1 species